AUUGAACGCUGGCGGCAUGCCUUACACAUGCAAGUCGAACGGCAGCGGACCUUCGGGUGCCGGCGAGUGGCGAACGGGUGAGUAAUAUAUCGGAACGUACCUUUCAGUGGGGGAGUAACGUAGCGAAAGUUACGCUAAUACCGCAUAUUCUGUGAGCAGGAAAGCAGGGGAGUCGCAAGACCUUGCGCUGAUUGAGCGGCCGAUAUCAGAUUAGCUAGUUGGUGAGGUAAAGGCUCACCAAGGCGACGAUCUGUAGCGGGUCUGAGAGGAUGAUCCGCCACACUGGAACUGAGACACGGUCCAGACUCCUACGGGAGGCAGCAGUGGGGAAUUUUGGACAAUGGGCGCAAGCCUGAUCCAGCCAUGCCGCGUGAGUGAAGAAGGCC
rnacentral:rRNA from 1 species